rnacentral:sRNA from 1 species
CCGACGACCGCGGUCUUGAAACACGACUCGUAGGGGUGGACAUUCGGAUAAGCGGGUCGGAUUCGGAUAAAACCCUAUCGAGUACAGGUUCUUCAGGUAGAAAAGUUUAGGAUCCAAUAGGGUAAAUCUAAAAUAUCGGUUCGGUGUCGGUUCGGGUCUAAUCGGGUUCCGGUCGGUUCGAAUAUAGAGUUUUGGGCUCUUUUUUGGAACCGAUACCAAAUUUUCGGAUGUAUAUCCAGAUUUUUCGGGUAAAUACCCAAAUUUUCUGGUAAAAUUUCGGGUUUUAGGUAAAAUUUAGAUUUUCGAAUAAAAUAUCCGGGUAUUUUCGGGUUCGGUUUCGGUUUUUUGGGUAGAGGAAUUUUGGACCCAAUAGGGUAAAUCUUCGAGUUCGAGUUCGGUUUCUGGUCCAAUUUUUCGGGUCGCUUCCGGUUCGGGUAAUCGGUUCCGGUUUUCUUGCCCACCCCUAGUAGGUUGUAUGAUUGUUACACUUCAUUAGAAAUAUA